GAAAAUAUAAAAAUUUUAAUGCUUAUCAAGAAAGUAUAGCAUUAUCAUUAUGUAAUAAAUGGAUUGAUAUAAAUAGUGUUUAAAUUAAAAAAAAAAUGAACUCGCUACAAGAAAGUAAUGGUAACCAGACACUUGUAUUAUUUGUUACUAUAUAUAUAGUAACAAGAUUUGAAAAUAUAUCGUGUAAUUUUAACCAAUUGAAGAAAUAUUCUUUUUAAUUAAACCAUACUUUUCUUAUAAGUUAAUGUAAAUAUACGUAAUUUAUAUAAUUCAUUAAAUUUCUGAAAAAACUGUUACUACAAUUUAUAAUGAACAAGAAGUAGAAGUUAGAAGUAAUUUUGAAAAAAUUAAAGUUUGAAAGGUUUUACAUAAUAUUGUAUUUAUGUACAUAUAUUAAUGUUUCAAAAUACACUGAUGUAUGAUGUACUUAUAAAUAUACUUUAAUAAAGAAAAGACAUGAAUUUUAUUUUGUCAGUACGAUCAUACUGUUCUAAUACUUCUGGCCCAAUAAAAAAAAGUGCAAACUUAAUUAGAAAUGAAUUUUUAGAUUAUUUUAAACAAGAUUUAGGACAUACUUUUAUUCGAUCAAGUCCUGUUGUACCUCUUAAUGAUCAUACAGUUGCAUUUGUUAAUGCUGGAAUGAAUCAAUUUAAGGGAGUUUUCUUAAAUUAUUAUGAUCCACCUGUGCUGAAAGCUGUGAACUCACAAAAAUGUAUUAGAGUUAGUGGAAAACACAAUGAUUUAAAUGUAGUUGGAAGUGAUACUUAUCAUCACACAUUCUUUGAAAUGUUAGGAAAUUGGUCUUUUGGAGAAUAUUUUAAGGAAAAGGCAUGCCGUUAUGCUUGGGAUCUAUUAACAAACCAAUAUAAUAUUAAUAAAGAAUUUUUACAUGUAACUUAUUUUGGUGGAGAUGAAAAAUUGAAAUUAGAAGCUGAUUUAGAAUGUAGAGAUAUUUGGUUAAGUAUUGGUGUUGCAAAAGACAAAAUUAUACCAUUUGGAUUACAAGAAAACUUUUGGGAAAUGGGAAUCUCAGGACCAUGUGGUCCUUGUACAGAGAUACAUAUAGAUUAUACAAAACAAUUAUCAAAUCGAUCAAUGCAAGUUAAUAAAGCUUCUUCAGCUCUCACAGAAUUAUGGAACAUAGUUUUCAUACAAUACCUAAGAUUACCAGAUGGUACAAUAGUACCUCUUCCAAAACAUCAUGUUGAUACAGGCAUGGGACUUGAGAGAUUAGUUGCAUUAUUACAAGGAAAAAGCUCAAAUUAUGAUACAGAUCUUUUCCAGCCUCUUUUUAAAGCCAUUCAGAAGUACACAAAAGCUCCAGAUUAUGAGGGUAAAUUUUAUAAUGAUGAAGUUGGACUUGACAGUGGAUAUAGGGUAUUGGCAGAUCAUAGUAGAAUGAUUUCUGUGGCUCUAGCAGAUGGAAUGAUUCCAGAACAAAGUAAUAAACUUAGAAAAAUAAUAAGAAAAGCAAUUGAUGUAGGUGAAAAGGUAUUUAAGAAGCAAGGAAUACUUCAUGAACUCUCAUAUGCUGUAGCAGAAAAUUUAGGAGAUGUUUAUCCAGAAUUGCAGGAUAAUCUUAAAACGGUACAGAAAAUAAUAAAAUUUGAAGAGGAAUUAUAUAUAAAAUUACAAAAUACUUCUGGUAAAGAAUGGAAAAAAAUUGUUGCAACACGUCCUCAACUAGUAUCUAUAUCUGAAUGGACAGCUCCUGGACUAGUAAAUGGAUAUAAGUAUCUACAAAGUACACUUAAAGAAUUGAAAGCAACUGAUACAUUAACAGGAAAAGUUGCUUUUAAAUUAUAUGAUACACAUGGUUUAAGUGUAGAAACAAUAAGUGAACUAGCAGAAGUUGAAUCAUUAAAUUUUGAUAGUCUAGCCUUUCAAAAUGAAUUAGAAAAACUCAGGAAUCAGUCAAGAAUUGGCUUAGUAAAGAGCAGUGAAGUGAUGCUGAGGAAAUCUCUGGAAACGCUUCAGAAAAAUCAUGUACUUAAAACUGAUGACAGUUUUAAAUAUAAAUAUAUUCAUGAUGGAGAUAAUUAUCAGUUCCCUACCAUUGACAGUAAAAUUGUAGCAUUAAUAAUAAAUGAUAACAUAAUAUUUAACCGAGGAGACGAAAAUAUAUAUUCCAUUAUAUCCAAAAAUACUGCAAAUUAUGGUAUAAAAUCGGACGAAGAUGAAAUUGGAAUUAUACUGGAUAAAACAGUAUGUUAUUCAUUGGAAGGUGGUCAAAUAUCAGAUAAAGGCUCCAUUAGUACAAAAGAGUUAAAUUUCAGCAUAAAUAAUGUGAGAAAAAUUAAUGAUUACGUUAUACAUUUCGGAAAGUUUAAUCAAAGCGAUUUAAAAAUUUGGGGUGAAAAAUUAAAAAUUGGUGACAGUUGUAUAGUUUCUAUUUUACCUGAAUUUCGAAUUGGAACAAUGCAGCAUCAUACUGCAGCACAUCUGUUAAGUGCAUGUGUAAAGGAAAUUAUUCAGGGAGUUUAUCCGCGUAAUUCUCUCAUUCUUCCCCAUAAUUUAAAGUUUCAAUUUAAUUCUUUUGGAGAAAAACUUUCUCGUAAGCAGCUGGAAGAAAUCGAAAAACGUGUAAAUAGCGCUAUAGAAGCCAAUGUUCCAAUCACUACAAAAAUAUUAAAUUCAUUAGAAUUGUUAACAGAAGAUUCUGUAUCAUUAAUACCUGGAGAAAUCUAUCCUUAUACGGGUAUCAGAGUUGUAGAAGUAGAUUCGCUGAAUUUAAAAUCAAAAGAAGCAUGUUGCGGCACACACGUAUUUAAAACAGGAAUAUUAGAACAUUUUUAUUUCCAAAGUUACUAUUCAAAAGGAGCGGCAAAUUUUAAUGUUAAAGCUGUUGUAGGACCACCUGCAACAGUUGCUAAAUUAAUGGCUGAAAAAGUGCAGUCUAGAAUUUUUGCUUUAGAGGAAAAAUUAAAAACUGAAGAAAUUACAUAUGAAACAUUUAAAUCAAUUAGUAAAGAAAUUGAGCAUGAAAUGAAUAAUAAAGAUGAUGAAAAAGUAUCAGUACCAUAUCUUAUUAAAGAAGACUGUUUAAUAAAAUUAAAAGAUUUAAAUGAUCUCGCUAAGAUGAGAGCGAAAGAAAUAGAAAAGUCUUUUAUAAAUAUGGAGAUAAAAAAUGAAUUCAACGCAACGCCUUCUUUUGUCGUUCAUUGUUUGCAUAAGAACCUCGUGCAUUUAUCACUUCAGGAAGCUGUAUCUCUUUAUCCAAAUAUGCCAAUACUUAUUAUUGUACACCAUAAUGGAACAAUAAAAGCAUGGUGUUCUGUACCGCAGGACCUUGUAUCUGAUUCGUUCAAUGCACGAACGUGGAUGAACAUCGUUCUUGAUGUUUUUAAUGCGAAAUAUGUUCCAACCAAGGGUUUUGAUCCGUCUUUAGUUGCUAGUAUGAAAACCAUAAGUAUUUCAGAAGCUUCACAGAAACAUCUAAUAAACGAAGCAACUGAAGAAGCUAGAACUUUUGCAUUUACACAUGUAAAAAACAGUUGAAAUUCUAUUUUACAAACACCCAACUAAUGUUGCACUGCGUGUUCUUCCUGCUUUACAAUGUACAUAAACACUUCCAUGAGGAUAAUUGCAAAAAUUCAACAUUGUGUAUCUGCCAUUCCUAAAAUAAAAAUGUUAGAAAAUACUCGUAAUUCAUAAUCUUCAUUCAUCGAAACAACAGCUUUAACAUUUUCUUCAGUUAUUAACUGAAAUUUUAAAUAG